AUCAUAUGAAUGGAUGCUGACAAAACAUUUGGUAAAAUACAGAACCCAUUUAAGAUAACACUCAGCAAAGUGGGAGUAGAGGGAGCAUACCUCAAUAUUAUAAAGACCAUAUAUGAGAAACCAAUGGCCAGCAUCAUGCUCAACAGGGAAAAGCUUAAAGCUU